CACUUUUAGAUUACGCUGGCAAGAGACUGAGAGAUGGGGAAGGAAAGCAGAGGAAAGUAGGAGCUGCAGGAAAGACAGCACCAUGUCAGCUGUGGAGCUCUGGGCAGGUGCAGCAUGGCUUGCUGGGAGCCAGAGCAGGUAAGUAAUUCACCAUUAUAGACUAUUAAAAACUAUUUAGAGAUCCUCAGAUGGAAUACACAGACACCAAGAUAUAAGAUUAGGAGUUGGGGAAAAUUGGCUUUUAAACAGGCUACAGAUUUUGCCCGAGCCACUGUAAGAAUUUCUUGCUAGUUUGGAAGUAUAAUUACACAAAGAGCUGGAGCUCAGAGAUGCUGGGAGCCCCUGCUGUGCAGAGAGACAGUCCUCAGAGACAAACAACAGAUACUGCCUGCCUCCCACAGACAGGUAAGUAAAGGACAGAGAUAGAUAGAACUGUAUUGGUUUUAAGGAUAGAAGGAAGUAUACUGGUAAUUGUUUAAUUGUUUUUAAGUACACAUGGAAUAAAGAAAUCCAGGCCUUUGAUCUCAAAUGUAGGAAAUAAAGGCAGGGAGAGAGAAUAUAAGGAAUUAAAAAAUGCAUUUAAAGAAAUUUAAAAGUCUUGCCAGAGCAAAUAUUCAAAAUCUUUGAACAUGGUCUACAUGGAAUUCUUUAGCCUGGUGUGACAAAAAAAAAAAAAAAAAAAAAAGAGCCUGGAGAUAGACUGUGGGAAUAAGGAGACAGACUGACAGAGUAAGCAGACAAACUGAGAGAGUAAGGAGACAGAGACUGAGGGAGUAAGGAGACAGACUGAGAGAGUAAGCAGACAGACUGAGAGAGUAAGGAGAUAGACUUAGACCGUAAGGAGAAGGAAGUGAAUUAGCCUAGAGAUAGACUUACACAGUAAGGAGAGGGGAGAUAAUUAAAGCUAAAUGCAUAGAGGAAUUAAGUAAUCGAUCUUAAAUUAUAUGUCAAAGAGCAGGGUGUAAGUAGAAAAACUUACCUCACACAUGUAAUAGAAGCUUAUGCUAAUUCAAGUUACAUAAAAGGAAAGAAACAUAUGUACUCACAGAUAUAUUAAUUUCCAUAGAAGGGAAGAUUUAAGUAUACUUAGAUAAAUAAAUAAAUGAGGCUUUUGAUAUUAAAUUAUAGUUCCAAAAGCAGGGGGUAGGAAGACUAACCUAUCUCAGACAGUAGAAACUUAGGCCUCAAUCUCACUAUUUAAAAUUAAUCAUGUAAGAACAAAACAGGAGAUGGUAGGGGAGUGCUGUUUCAACAGAUAAUAUUUGUUUAGAUUGCUUUAAUUCCCUUGUUUUAAUUAUAAAAUAAAGAUGAUUAUAAGUUUGGUGGUAUUUAUGAUAUUAAAAUUCCUCUGGGAGAGAGGGCAAGCUAUACAUUUAAUGAUUUCUAGUUACUGGACCAAGGAUAUGCUAUUUUGGGAAGAAGGCUCUGUAUUUGUUUUGAUAGGAAAGGAGAAAAGGCUUUGAGCCCCUUCCAGAGCGAUAUGGAUCAGCUAUUACAGGGGAAGACCCCCUGAAGAUCUUGGCUACAGAAAAGAAAAAUCAAACAGGACAGGUAACUUGACCUGCUGAUUCCUGGACAUGGAAACAGCCCAAUAACUGGCUUAGACAUAAAAAUGUCUCCAGCCAAAACGUCAGCUAAAAUUAGACAACAGAUCUUGUUGGUUAUGAAAUCCUUAAGAUUCUUUGUGCCAUCCUUCAUAUAGCAUGAAUGAAGAUUUAUCACAAUUGGUUAUUGGUCAAAUUAACUCAAAAAGUCAGUUGUCUUUCACCUGCUCUAACAAGGAACAAAGAUUCAUCCUUAACUGAUCAGUGCAUCUUGCAUAAUCCAUUGCUUCCAAAACAGCUUCAGGAAUAGCUGGUGAUUCCAGAUGACCUUACGUCAUCCAAUCUUUCAGACAGAUGCAGUCAAAACUUCAGUCAAGCCCUGAGCCUUCUAAGCAUACAGAGUCUGGAUAACAGAUGCUAAAGCUAACUUUCUUAAGUCUAACCAAAUUUUCUAAUUUUCCUAUCCCUCCCCACCCCUUUAAAAAAUAAGUCAUCACCCAAUUCAGCCAUGGAGAAGAAGCCAUGGAGAGCCAUCAGGUGAUCCCUUGGGUGUGGGUGUCUGGUUAUGGUUAUUUUAUAAAUUAUAAAUAGGUUGUCAUUUUAAGGGAUAUUUGGGAAUGAUCAUAAUUUUGAACAGGAAGAAAAUAAAUGGGAUGGAUUACUAAAUUUAUUCUUUUUGUUUUUUUUGUUUUGUUUUUGUUUUUCCGAGACAGGGUUUCUCUGUAUAGCCCUGGCUGUCCUGGAACUCACUUUGUAGACCAGGCUGGCUUUGAACUCAGAAAUCUGCCUGCUUCUGCCUCUGCCUCCCGAGUGCUGGGAUUAAAGGCAUGUGCCACCAUGCCUGGCUACUAAAUUUAUUCUUAAGCAAAGCCUUAUAUAGUCACAAUCUUACAUUGGUAGAAAUCUUUAUAACUGAUUCAAAAUUGAAGUUAUAAUUUCUUACAUUGGUACAGAAUUUAUAUAUUGAUAUAGAUUUUUUUUUGUUUUUUGUUUUUUUGUUUUUUGAGACAGGGUUUCUCUGUGUAGCCUUGGCUGUCCUUGAACUCACUUUGUAGACCAGGCUGGCCUUGAGCUCAGAAAUCUGCCUGUCUCUACCUCCCAAGUGCUGGGAUUAAAGGUGUGCGCCACUACGCCCGGCUUGAUAUAGAUUUUUCAAUGGUAUACAUUUCUUAUGUUGAUACAAAAUUUGAAAUUAAUAUUGUUACUCUUGGAUAGGCACUGUGCCCAUGUAACUCAUUUCAGAAUACAAGGCUUAGAUCCAGUCCUUCUAAUAACGGCUACUACAAACUGUUUAGGAUGCUUAAAUAACACAAGGUCUAGGUAAUAAAAAAAAAACCUCAUGGUUAUAUUAGAUUCUGAUUUAAUUAUAAUAAAGUAUUUUAAAUAUUACUCAAAUAGAAAUGCCUAAGAGUAGUUAAAGUUUAACGGUUUAGACCUACUUUAUGUACACAGUCUUUAAAAACAUCAGAAACCCACAAAAUAUGACAUUUAAUGUUAUUUCAUUAUGAAAGAUCAUUUGACAAGGAGACAUGUCUGUCCUGACAGCUUCCCCAUUCCCCUUCAAAGAAGAAUUUGAGCAUCAAAACCUCCAUAUAGAGUUGCUCCACUAGUCACUGGACAAAAAUUGCCCUAUUCAUCUACAGACAAAAAAUACUGUCCAGGAAAGGACACACAAUGCAAGAUCAUUGACAGUUUAGUCCCUCAUGGUUCCUGCUUCAUUUCAAGGUCUGUCAGAUGGAUCUGGGCCAGGAGGCUGAAGACAGAUGCUCCAACAUUAGGGAAAUUAAGAAAUUAAGGGACUUUCCAGGUAGUCAGUUGUCUCUGUAAUCUGUUUCAGUUUUGGAAACUAUAUUUUUGUGUUUCCUACACAUUCAAGUAAUAAUUUGCUCCUGAGGGGGUUGAAGACUAGUUAUAGUCUCAUAAUCAAACUCGAGUUGUUUAUCAUUGAGAGAGAUGAUAUAGGUUUGGAAGGAUGGUUUUUGCUGGUAAUGCAAGCUAAAGUCAGAACAUAACUCAAGUAUAGAAUUGUAAGCUCUCUAAGUUAGGAUAGAAGGUAGAGUGCUUUAUCUAACUGACAAAUAAGAUAGGCUGGAUGCUAAUUGUAUAUCACACUUUGUAAUUUACAUAAUUGUAAUGGUUAUGCUCAAUUUGUAUCUAAGAGAAGAGCCUUUUUAAAAAUUUGAACAGAAAGGUGAGAUGUUGGGGAUUGGUUCUAAUGCUAUCUAUGUCUUAUUUUGGCUCCCAAAAAGCUGUGCUUCCAGCCCUGAGGGUUCUUGCUCCCAGCUGGCUUCAGUUGAUAUUAAAGAAUGGCUGGACAGAAAGAUGGAGGUGGGACUUCAGAUUGUGUGGGCAAGGGGCAGAGAGAGGGAGAGAGAGAGGAGCGGGGAGGAAGAUGGACAAACGGACAAUAACUAUGACUCGGAGGCAGAUGGAUCAGAUUUACCAUCCAGCAGUGUAGGUGGAAAGGGAAUGCAUCCCUAAGGUGAGGGGGCACUGCCCAGAAGGUAGCAUGGGAGCACAGAUGAGAUACAGAAUUAGAAGGUGUUGAGCCAGGAGUACCAGAGGAAAUGUGUGCUAGCCGUGGGGAGGUUUAGAAGUGCCCAGCCAUCACUGAGCUAAUAAAGGCAUAUCAGAAUUAGCUGGUGUGUGUAUGCGUGCAUGCGUGCGUGCGUGCGUGCGUGCGUGCGUGCGUGCGUGCGUGCGUGCGUGCGUGCGUGUGUGUGUGUGUGUGUGUGUGUGUGUGUGUGUGUCUUUUAUUCUUGACUCCAGGAAGCUCUUGGGCAGAUGCAGCAUGUGUGUGACCCGCCCACCAAAGAAGUUGAACUAAUUCACUGCCACACUCUUCCAACACUUUCAUUAUUAUUUUUGAGACAAGGUCCAGGCUCUUCUCUAGCUCCCUAUGUAGACCAGGGUGUCCUCCUGAGUGCUCGGGUUAAAGGCACACAUCACCACACCUGGUUUAUGUGGCUACUGGAGUUUGAAGUUCAUAGCAAGCACUUGACUGACUAGACAUCUUCUAGGCCCUCUUCCCUCCCACCCCCUUAAUCAGGUUCCCAUGUAGCCUAGGUCAGCCUUAAGCUGUGCUGUGGCAGCUGACCUUCAUCUGAUCCUCCAGUCUCCAUGUCUUAAGUGCUGUUGUAGGUAUGAAACACCGCACCUACCUAUGUAAUCUUAGGAAUGGAUCCUGGGGCCUUGGUGCCUGACCCCUGAGCCUGCCCCAGCUUUUCUGUUUUGAGACAGGGUCUUGUUAUGCAGUACAGGCUGGCCUCAGACCUGCCACCCUCCUGCUCUGGCAUCUUGAAUCUGGGAUGACAGGCAUAACCAAGCCAGUCCCUUCUGUCACCUUUCUUGAUUAUCUUAGAAUUCAUUCUUAAGAUCUCACCACAGGUCUACACAUCUCGAGAUAACUUGACCCCAGGGACAAGCCGGGGACAUGUGCCAUCACCAGAGAACCUAGUGCCCACAGAGGCCAUGCCUUGGCCUCUUCCUCACUACCUAAGGCUGCUUCUUCUGAGAUUUUUGGUUAGAGGUUUUCAUCUUUCUUUAACCUUUUUGAGGUCGUAUUUUGCCAGGUCUCUGGGCUUUUCUAAGACCUGUGAGCACUCCAGGCAGAGCAGGUUGCCCGGGUGAGGGGGGGUCCCAGCACACUUACAUGGCUGUUGAGCAGGCCGCCUUUGUGGGGGGCAAGGCCUUCGCUUUUUUGGAGAGUCUCAAUCGCCAUUUCAAGCUACAAAGACAUGUACAGAGACAGGACAAAACCAAAAAGGUGGUGGGGGUUGGGGGGGGGGGAAGAGAAGGAAAUCAGAUGGUUAGAGGCAGGCAGCCCACACCAGUCUCUCAUUAGCAUCCAAGUAACAAUGGCAGCUAGCAAGGCUCAUGGCAGGGGGUUAAUGGUGAGUGAAGCCAGGGCAAGUUCAAGGCUGUGUGCCAUGCACCUAAGCCCUGACCCCAAGACAGCAGCAGCACAAGGAAGAAGUCACUGGCUGCUCCACAUCAUGUCCCAGCACAGGACGCAAAGCACCAAGAGUCAAGCUCAUGCAGACAGAGGCUGAGGCCAAUAGCCAGAGUCUUCCUCAGGCACUCUCCCACUUCACUUGCGUGUGUUAGGUUAAGUUUGGGUGUUUUGCCAGCAUGUCUGUCUGUGUAUCCUGCAUGUGCAAGCCAGGUGCCUGCGGAGGCCAGAGAGGGCACCUGAUCUCCCCUGCAACUGGAGUUACAUACAGAGUGCUGGGUGCCAGAAUGCGGGUUCUUGGACCUGAACCCUCAGGGUUAGACACUGGGUCAUCUUUCCACCUUACUUUUUUUUUUUUAAGAGUUAUUUAUUAUUAUAUCUAAGUACACUGUAGCUGUCUUCAGAUGCACCGGAAGAGGGCGUCAGAUCUCAUUAUGGAUGGUUGUGAGCCACCAUGUGGUUGCUGGGAUUUGAACUCAGGCCCUUUGGAAGAACAGUCGGUACUCUUAACCACUGAGCCAUCUCUCCAGCCCUCCACCUUACUUUUUGACACAAGGUCUCGCUAUGAACCUUGAGUUUGCUGACUGGCUAGCAAGCUCCUGGAUCCUUCUGUCUCCACCUCCUCAGCUUUGGGUCAGAGGUAGGCACCACCAUGCCCAGCUAAGAAGGGUGACACUUCACCCAUUGAGCCCUCUCCCUAGCCCCUGAGAACCAAACUUAUACACAGCUGCUGGGUGAACUCACAUGUGAACCAGGCCAGUCAGCCCCCAUCCCCCACACAUGCCCCACAUCGCACCUGCUGCUGCAGAUGGUGGGUAACACUGAUCCCUGGGCCACCUUCCCUAGUGGCAUCAGGGCCUCCUAGACAGAUGCUCAGGGACUCUGGGCCACUGUACGCUGCCUGACAAGGAGCUGGAGUUAGGAGACAGUGCAGGGGAAGCAAUGGACAUGGAGCUGAGGAAAGUGAGUGGGGACAGAAUGGGCUGUCAGGGGUGUGGUGACCUGGCUAUGGGCCUGGGUGGAGCAGAGGAGGAAAGACCUGUUGCUGCAUUGAGUGUGACCUGGCCUUAUAGUGCAGUCGGCGCUAACAUCAGCCAGGAAAGCACCUAAAACACUCAGGGGAGUGGGGGCUUCUCAGGGUUUUAGGCAAGGGCAAGUAGAAUGUUUCACUCACCAGGCACACCAGAACUACAGUCAAAACAGAGGGCUCAGGGGUAAAGGUGCUUGCUACCAAGCUGUCCUCCUGAGUUCAAUCCCUAGGACCCACGUGGUGUAAGGAGAGAAUCCACUUCCACAAGUUGUCCUGCCGUGGCACAUGAGUGCACACAAUAAAUACAGUGUGGUAAGGAAAUAGGAAGGGUCAUGGCUUCUGAGGCCCUCAGAGUCGUGCUGCAUCUGCGAUCUCCCUCAGUGCGCCUGGAUGAGCCAGGAUACCAGGCUGUCUUUACCCAGCACGGAGAGCACCACAGGGCAUGGGUGAGCAGACACCAGGUCCACUCUCUGCUCCCAUCCGUGCUGGGCACAGGCAGGCAAGAAGACAGAAGCACGCCAGCAGCAGCGGCAGAGGGAGGCACAGAUGGCCUGACAGGCAGCGGCGGUGGCUCCAUGGUUGUCAGCUGAAUGUAUGGGCUUCUUCCCACUUCUGGAACCUUCCAUGAAGGACCCAGUCUCAAGCCCCACAAAAGAGGCGGGCAGGGAAGAACAGCAGGUUUGAACCUGCGCUGAAUGACUCUGUCACACUAUUUUAAAUAGCAAGGCCCCAGUAAAGGAGAGUUGGGGGCACUGUGGUAGGCUCAUCUCCCCCACAUGGCGGCCAGAGGUCAAUGCUAGCUAGAACUCUCUUAUCUUCUGUUUUGAGACAAGGUCUCUCCAUGAACCUGCAGCCUGUUAACUCUGCUGGGCUGGCCAGCGAGUCCCAGGGACCCUCCUGCUCCUGGCUGGGAUGAGAAGUAUGUACCUCCAUGCCUUGCUUGUAUAGGGCCUGGGGACUGAACUCAGGUCCCCACACUGGCUCACCAGGCAUCUUAACACUGAGGCACCUCCCCAGGGCCCAUGUCUCUCUCCCCCCUUCACUCCCUCCCUCCCUUUCUUUUCCUUUCUCUCUCUUAAAUUUGAGACAGGUUCUUACUAUGCAACUCUGGCUGUCCUGGGACUCAGAGCUCCACCUGCCUCUGCUUCCUGAGAUGUGGAAUUAAAGGUGUGCACCAUUACGCCUGGCCCGAUUUUAUUUUUAAGGGUUAUUAUCUUUAUCAAGUCAGAUAUGGGGAGUGCCACUCACCAACCCUAUGCUGGGGAGGAUGAGGCAAGAGGACGUCAAGUUGGGGGCCAGCCUGGGGUAAACGGUGAGAUGUGAUUUUCGCAAACAAUAAAAAGGAGUAAAAUUGA